rnacentral:rRNA from 1 species
AGUGAACGCUGGCGGUAGGCCUAACACAUGCAAGUCGAACGGCAGCACAGGAGAGCUUGCUCUCUGGGUGGCGAGUGGCGGACGGGUGAGGAAUACAUCGGAAUCUACCUUUUCGUGGGGGAUAACCUAGGGAAACUUACGCUAAUACCGCAUACGACCUACGGGUGAAAGUGGGGGACCGCAAGGCCUCACGCGAUUAGAUGAGCCGAUGUCCGAUUAGCUAGUUGGCGGGGUAAUGGCCCACCAAGGCGACGAUCGGUAGCUGGUCUGGGGGGAUGAUCAGCCACACUGGAACUGAGACACGGUCCAGACUCCUACGGGAGGCAGCAGUGGGGAAUAUUGGACAAUGGGCGCAAGCCUGAUCCAGCCAUACCGCGUGGGUGAAGAAGGCCUUCGGGUUGUAAAGCCCUUUUGUUGGGAAAGAAAUCCUGUCGAUUAAUACUCGGUGGGGAUGACGGUACCCAAAGAAUAAGCACCGGCUAACUUCGUGCCAGCCGCCGCAGUAAUAC